CAAACUCAACAACUAAGGAAAUAUUUGCAGCAGAAAGCAAAAAUUAAUAUUUAAGAUGAUUGUUUCUUUUCAAGCGACAGACAAAAGGCUACAGAGGCCUAUGAACAGAAAGGGGAUUAAUAGCCGUACCUGCUUCAUUUUUGUUGACUGCCUCUGUGCUCAUGCAAGAAUUGGUGGAUGUGGUGCACACCAAAUACUUCCAGCCAACCUUACAGGAUUUUGUCAGCACUGAGAAUGGUCCCCGACACCUGAAGCAGGAGGGUCGUUCAGAAAAAGCUCCCUGAACUUUGAACCAUAUCUGCAAAGUGAGAUAAACAAGAGCCAUAUAAAUACCACAGCUCUUUUCCCCACACUGUUUCCUUCUGCAGCAGAGCCAGGCAGAGCUGCCAAGAAGGGGGAGGAGGAAAGGGUAAGUGUGCUGGAUUUGCUGUGAAAGAGCUUCAUGACUUAAGAUUUGGCAGAGUGUUUGCUUGUUUCUUUAGCUGAAAAGGCUGACUGUGGAAAUUUCCAUCGGAAACUAAGUUGAAACUUGAAAUAUGAAGUAUAAGACAUGGCUCUCCUGCAGCUCACAGGGCAGACAGCUGUUGCUGGGUGCUGCAUGCCAGUGCUGCAGAAGGCUGCUGUAAAGACAAGAAAGGAUAUCAAAAUGUCGUGAGAGUCUCAUGUGCUCAUAAUAGUUAAAAAGGAAGGCUGCUUUCCUGAUGUGUGGAAAGAAUGGAAAAGGCUGUGUUGGUAUAUAUUGGACCACAGUUUAGUCUUCAAAGUACUUUACCUAGAACAUCGGGAAAGACUGUCAGGGACAGCUGGAUUUCACAAAUGCAGCAACAAAUGACUCUUGUUUUAAAAGGCUUUUAAUCCUUUAGGCUAUGACAAGAUGGAUGGAACAUGUAUAUUUAUCAGAAUUUAUUGUUUCCAAACUAUUUUGGGGUCACUGUCAGACUUAGAUGUAAGUGGUGAAGUUGUUACAGUUCCACAACCUAGGACAUGUUGGGGAGCAGCCUUAUAAUUUUAUAUGUUUAUAAUUUUCAGUAUUUCUUGAUAAUAUGUUUUUAAACCAAAAUUGAGAUGUUAAUGGAAUAAAAUGAAAAGGUAAUUAUAGAAUUUCUUAUAUGCUUUGAUUUUCAUAAACAUUAACUGGACUAAGUAUGGAUAUGAGAUUUUAUAAGAUCUGAGGAUUCCUGAAAUUCAGUUUUCAUUUCUGGAUUUUGCAAAAUUGUUUCUUGUACCUGACUUCUUCAUAGCUUUUUCUCAAUGGGAUCCAGGUACUCCAGACUGACUUGUAAAAAUUUUUAAGUCUUUUUUAUUAUUUUCUGCUGUGUUCUGUAGUACUUGUGGUGUACUGAAAUACGCUGUUGGUGUGUGUACUUUUAAGACAGUGGAAUUACCCUGUAAUCUGGAGUGAACUGGUCUAGAUUCUUCCUGACAUAAACAGGCUUACCACAAUUUAUUUCAAAAAACAAGAAAGAAGGUCACUUGAAAAUCAUUGAAUUGCUAAAAAUUGUUAAAAAGAAAUUACAAAGAGAAAGAUUAGUAGUAUUAAAAAAAUUCCAGUGAUUCUGAAUGUUUACUUUUUAGCUGUUCAAACACAGUAACAAAAAAACACAAAAACCUUCAAGCACCACAAAGAAAAAACACCUGCUUCUAUUAUAGAGGAGCUCUACUGAUAAACCAAAGAAAUUGAGUAAUAAACAAUGUGUUCAAAUUUAUUCUUACAGGGGUUUUUCUUUUCUUUUUCUUUUCUUUUCUUUUCUUUUCUUUUCUUUUCUUUUCU
rnacentral:lncRNA from 1 species